rnacentral:snRNA from 1 species
UUGCUGCAGCAGCAGCACAUGUACUAAAACUGGAACAACGCAGAGAAGAUUAGCAUGGCCCCUGCACAAGGAUGACAUGCAAAUUCAUGAAAAAUUCCAUAAAUUU